rnacentral:rRNA from 1 species
CGAGCGGAACGAUCCUAGCUUGCUAGGAGGCGUCGAGCGGCGGACGGGUGAGUAACGCGUGAGAAUCUACCCAUGAGUGGGGGACAACCCGGGGAAACUCGGGCUAAUACCGCAUACGCCCUACGGGGUAAAGCAGGGGACCUUCGGGCCUUGCGCUGAUGGAUGAGCUCGCGUCGGAUUAGCUUGUUGGUGAGGUAAAGGCUCACCAAGGCGACGAUCCGUAGCUGGUCUGAGAGGAUGAUCAGCCACACCGGGACUGAGACACGGCCCGGACUCCUACGGGAGGCAGCAGUGGGGAAUCUUGGACAAUGGGGGCAACCCUGAUCCAGCCAUGCCGCGUGUGUGAAGAAGGCCUUCGGGUUGUAAAGCACUUUCAGCAGGGAGGAAGGCUUACCCCUAAUACGGGUGAGUACUUGACGUUACCUGCAGAAAAAGCACCGGCUAAUUUCGUGCCAGCAGCCGCGGUAAUACGAAAGGUGCAAGCGUUAAUCGGAAUUACUGGGCGUAAAGCGCGCGUAGGCGGUGUGUUAAGUCGGAUGUGAAAGCCCAGGGCUCAACCUUGGAAUUGCAUCCGAUACUGGCACGCUAGAGUGCAGUAGAGGGAGGUGGAAUUUCCGGUGUAGCGGUGAAAUGCGUAGAGAUCGGAAGGAACACCAGUGGCGAAGGCGGCCUCCUGGACUGACACUGACGCUGAGGUGCGAAAGCGUGGGGAGCAAACAGAGAUUAGAUACCCUGGUAGUCCACGCUGUAAACGAUGUCUACUAGCCGUCGGGGUCCUUAGUGACUUUGGUGGCGCAGCUAACGCGAUAAGUAGACCGCCUGAGGGAGUACGG